CCAGAGCGAGGGGGAAAAUAAACACACACUGGGUCCACGGCCGGUCCCGCCGCCGUUUUCUCCUCCACAAACCCGAACAGCGGAGAGACCGUCGUCGUCCG